rnacentral:rRNA from 1 species
UCUCGCGUCAGGAUAUGCCUAGGUGGGAUUAGCUAGUUGGUGAGGUAAGGGCUCACCAAGGCGACGAUCCCUAGCUGGUCUGAGAGGAUGAUCAGCCACACUGGAACUGAGACACGGUCCAGACUCCUACGGGAGGCAGCAGUGGGGAAUAUUGCACAAUGGGCGCAAGCCUGAUGCAGCCAUGCCGCGUGUGUGAAGAAGGCCUUCGGGUUGUAAAGCACUUUCAGUCGUGAGGAAGGUGGUAGUGUUAAUAGCACUAUCAUUUGACGUUAGCGACAGAAGAAGCACCGGCUAACUCCGUGCCAGCAGCCGCGGUAAUACGGAGGGUGCGAGCGUUAAUCGGAAUUACUGGGCGUAAAGCGCAUGCAGGUGGUUUGUUAAGUCAGAUGUGAAAGCCCGGGGCUCAACCUCGGAAUAGCAUUUGAAACUGGCAGACUAGAGUACUGUAGAGGGGGGUAGAAUUUCA